UUUCCAGCUUCUCAUAGGCCCGAACAGGCCCAGGAAAGUCACAGAGUUAAAAUGGCCAACAUAGCAGCCAAGACUGAAUCCAAGUUACAUGGUGACAGAGGCCUGUUUUUGAUCACAAUUUUGAAUUUCUGAUAAUUUGACUGAAUCACAUCCUGCUCACAUACACCCUGUGAAUUAUUUCAUCUGCGACACAAGGAUUUGGGUUUGUUCCCUUAAAAAUUAAAUGUCAGCACUUCAUGCAGAACUUGGCAGUAAAUCUUUGUAUAGAAACUCAAUCCACAGUCUGAAGCUAACAGCAAAGAGUAGAGGACAUGAGUCAAAUAGUUUGCAGGAGAUACCACCUGGGUGCUAUAUUAGGGCUGCAAAUAUAUUUGCCUUCAUUCCUGCAAAGAUUUGGACAACUGCUAGAGAUACCAAACACCUGCUGUGUUGCUUUAUCAUGGUCAUCCAGGUUGUGGCAUCCAGGAUAAGGUAUCACUUCAUUUGGGAAAAAAAAGAAUACAACAGAAAGAAUAUUUUGGAUUGAAGAGCAAAAGUGUGGAAAGGAGAAGGAAAAACACUUUGGUUUGCAGCUCAUGAACAAAGUUCUGAUCCUCAAGGUCAAUAUUAAAUGGAUCAUCCAGAAGGUCGAAGUGAAAGAAGAUUGUCAUUCCCAUCAGUAACUGCUUUGUCAGUACUCUUUGGUUGGAUCUGGUGCUUUGCUUUCUGAACCAUGUUUUUCUUUGUGCCCGGAUAUUCAGACAGUUCAAAAGGCAAGUACUGUAUUCCUAUAUGCCAGGGAGAGCUUUCCCUCACCUUUUAUAGGAGCAUUGCUAUUUUAGGUAGUCAUUCCUCAGAGAAAUGGAUGAUAAAGUUAAGUGGUAAAGCUAGCAAAAGAGAGUCCCAAGGAAAACAAAAACAAAUAAAAGACUGAACAGGGUGAACAGGAUAGGUUUCUAAAGAUUUUCCAGACUUUUUUUUUUGUAAAGGAUCUCCCUUUUUUUAAGAAAAGGACCUCCCAAUUUUAGCAAUGCUGUUUAGAAGGAAAGGAUUGCCCUGUCCUGUUCACCUGUUUCAGUCUUUUAUUCAUUUUUGUCUUGUACUGACAAAAUCUGUUCAAUCUGUUUCCAAGGGACAACAGAUUGAAAAAUGAAUGCCUGUUGGGUUCUUUUAAUAACAUUUUUAAUCUCUUAUUACAAUCAAAAGAUACAUAAGAGAUCAUGUUUUCACUUUUUUCCCUAGGUUUACCAGAUUCCUUCUUGUGUAGAAGGCUAUCAAUUUGACUAAAGAAGAAAACUGGUUGCAAUUAUCAGCAUUUUGGACCUCUUAGCUCAUUAUUUCAAAGUUGUACAAAGCUUGAGCCAAAUUAAGUGUGUUGUUUAGAAGUAGGAACAAAUCCUAUAACAAUUAGAUGUUAUGUGUGCAUGGUGAUGCAAUCAACUUAAUAACAAGUCAUUUCUCUCACAAAAGCCUCAAAAACCCUUUCUCCUACAUGCACAAAGGGAACUUCUGGCCUACUCAUUCAUAAUCCAUACACAAUAGACCUUGGCUGUUCCCCCCUUAUUUUUUUUUUUUAAUGUAAGAAACCUGAUUCUUCUAAAUUAACAUUAAAACAAACAAACAAGCAAAUGUUUUUUCUCUCAUAUAAAUGUCAUUUUUAAUUUAAGGCAAGUCUGGCUUUAAAUCUCAGAACAACUAAGAUUCUUUAGAAGAUAAUGUUGUACUUAGGCAUGCUUUCAGAGUAAUGAGAACAAUUUGUACAUCACCUUCAAUUCACUAAAUAAAUUGUGCUUCACUAUAUCAUGUAAGUGAAUGAGUAUCCCACAAUUCACAGAAUGAAGUCUUAAUUUUUUCUCUCUCUUAAGUAUAAUAUAACUUGGUUAACAGAGUCUUUGCAACAUUUAAAAUUUACUUUUGUACAAACUGACUGAGAAUAUAGAUCAAUAUAGACAAGUGGUGGUGAACCUAUAGCAUGGGUGCCAGAGGCAGUACUCAGAGCCCUCUCUGUGGGCAUGCGUGCCAUCGCCCCAAUCCUAGGCCUUCAGCUGGGUUUUAUAAAACCUUUUCGCUUUAGGCCU